CGGAUGUACCAGGGUGGAAAUAUCUUACCCUAGUCUCUCUCUCUCUUUCUUUCUUUCUCUCUCUAUCGUGUAUUCUCUAUUCUCUACCUGAGGAUCAAAGAGACUCAAAGAAAACAAAACGAAGAAACCCUAGAUCAUGGCUGGGAUGUAUGGCCAAGACGCUGGUGACGGUGCUGCUCCUCCACCCUACGGAGCAAGCGGUGGCGGCGGCUACGGUGGCGGUGGUGGCUACGGAGGCGGUGGUCCCGCAGGUUUUGGAGGAAGUAGCGGCGGUUAUAGUGGAGGGGGUGGAUACAGUGGUGGCGGUGGUGGUGGUGGUUAUGGAGGAAAGGGCGGUGAAGGCGGUUACGGUGGCGGAGGGGGUCGUGGUGGUCGAGGUGGUGGACGAGGAGGGGGUGGUGGAGGAUAUCAAGGAGGAGAUCGUGGGGGCCGAGGCGGCGGAGGCAGAGGUGGUCGUGGUGGCAGCGGAAGAGAUGGUGAUUGGCUUUGCCCUAAUCCAAGUUGUGGGAAUUUAAACUUUGCUAGAAGAGUGGAGUGUAACAAGUGUGGUGCUCCCUCUCCUGCUGGGGCUGGUGACCGUGGUGGUGGUGGUGGUGGUGGUGGUGGUGGUGGUGGUGGUGGUUAUAAUAGAGGUGGAAGUGGUGGGGGUUACAGUGGGAACCGAGGUAGAAGUGGAAACUAUGAUGGGGGCAGAAGUGGUAACUAUGAUGGUAGAACCGGUAGAGGUAGUUCCUAUUCUGGCAAUCAAGGGAGGGAAGAUGGUGGGUAUAGCCAUAGCCAGGUUCCUCAAUCUGCACCCCAAGCUUAUGGUGGGGCAGGUGGCAACUAUCCUCCAUCCUACAAUAGUUAUGGUGGGAAUGGCAAUUAUGGAACUGAUGCAGUUCCUCCUCCUACAAGCUAUACGGGUGGCCCAGCCUCGUAUCCCCCGUCCUAUGGUGGUCCCGUGGGUGGCUAUAGCGGUGAUGGUUUAGCUGAUACAAGGAGUGAUAUUAGGACUGGUGGCCGAGGUGGCCCUCCAGGUGCAUACAGCGGUGGUGGGUAUAGUUCUGGUGGUCGUGGUGGUUAUGGAUCAGCUCCUGCAGAGGCCCCAGCUAAGGUGAAGCAGUGUGAUGAGAAUUGUGGGGACUCUUGUGACAACUCUAGAAUCUACAUAUCAAAUUUACCUCCAGAUGUUACUAUUGAAGAACUGAGGGAUCUCUUUGGAGGUAUUGGACAGAUUGGAAGAAUCAAGCAGAAGCGUGGCUAUAAGGACCAAUGGCCAUAUAAUAUCAAAAUAUACACAGAUGAAAUGGGAAACAACAAGGGUGAUGCAGUUUUAUCCUACGAAGAUCCAUCUGCUGCACAUUCUGCUGGCGGAUUUUACAAUGAUUAUGAGUUGAGGAAGGGUUACAAAAUAAGUGUUGCAAUGGCAGAGAGGUCAGCACCAAGAGGACCCCCUGCAUAUGACCACGGUGGUGGUAGAGGUGGAUAUGGUGGAGAUAGGCGCCGAGAUAAUUAUAGAGAUGGUGGAGGUUCUGGGCCAGAUAGGCAUCAGCAUGGUGGAAAUCGAUCGCGUCCUUAUUGAAGACAUUCUACCCAAAGCAUUUUAUGUAAUGAGAAUUAUGAUCUGAGGGAGGUUUUUUUAUGUUUCAUUGGAGGGAUUCUUGAACUGGAGAUUAAGAGGUAGGUUGUUCACUUGUCCUGAGCAAGACCUCUGUGCUCCUCUCUUACUUUAUCUACUACCUGGAGGGGUUCAAUUCUAGGCAUGGGAUUGAUUUAAUUGUGUGAAUUUUUGUUUAGAGGCAAGUGGAUAAUCUCCAAAUUUCUUGCUGCUAAGGUAGGUUGAUAUUUUCAGGUGGUCUUUGACGCACUCGGUUUUGGAUGCACUGAUGAAUUUGUACUGAUGGUUUGGACAUGAUCUUUAUGGGCGAGUCUGGUGGUGAGGUCCGAUGAUUACUUUAAUAAAGAUGCAGCGAUAUUUGGGCCUCUGGGUUUGUUUUAUUUUUGGACAACUCUCUACUUUUCUAAACUUCAGCACAGGCUGGUUGAAAUUGAUUAAUGGAGCAAAGCGCUAUUUUAAUUUGGUUAGGAUAUUGUAAAAAAUGUAUCAACUUUUGCUCGUGAGAGGACAAUGUUUGAUGAAAUUUAUCAAAGUAAUAAAAUAUGGCGGGUUGCUUGUUAUUCAAUUAAAGAA